GGGUUGUGAGGUUAAGCGACUAAGCGUACACGGUGGAUGCCCUGGCAGUCAGAGGCGAUGAAGGGCGUGCUAAUCUGCGAUAAGCGCCGGUAAGGUGAUAUGAACCGUUAUAACCGGCGAUACCCGAAUGGGGAAACCCAGUGUGACUCGUCACACUAUCAUUAACUGAAUCCAUAGGUUAAUGAGGCGAACCGGGGGAACUGAAACAUCUAAGUACCCCGAGGAAAAGAAAUCAACCGAGAUUCCCCCAGUAGCGGCGAGCGAACGGGGAGGAGCCCAGAGCCUGAAUCAGCAUGUGUGUUAGUGGAAGCGUCUGGAAAGGCGCGCGAUACAGGGUGACAGCCCCGUACACAAAAGCGCAUGUGCUGUGAGCUCGAUGAGUAGGGCGGGACACGUGGUAUCCUGUCUGAAUAUGGGGGGACCAUCCUCCAAGGCUAAAUACUCCUGACUGACCGAUAGUGAACCAGUACCGUGAGGGAAAGGCGAAAAGAACCCCGGCGAGGGGAGUGAAAAAGAACCUGAAACCGUGUACGUACAAGCAGUGGGAGCACCCUUUGGGUGUGACUGCGUACCUUUUGUAUAAUGGGUCAGCGACUUAUAUUCUGUAGCAAGGUUAACCGAAUAGGGGAGCCGGAGGGAAACCGAGUCUUAACCGGGCGUUAAGUUGCAGGGUAUAGACCCGAAACCCGGUGAUCUAGCCAUGGGCAGGUUGAAGGUUGGGUAACACUAACUGGAGGACCGAACCGACUAAUGUUGAAAAAUUAGCGGAUGACCUGUGGCUGGGGGUGAAAGGCCAAUCAAACCGGGAGAUAGCUGGUUCUCCCCGAAAGCUAUUUAGGUAGCGCCUCGUGAAUUCAUCUCCGGGGGUAGAGCACUGUUUCGGCUAGGGGGCCAUCCCGGCUUACCAACCCGAUGCAAACUGCGAAUACCGGAGAAUGUUAUCACGGGAGACACACGGCGGGUGCUAACGUCCGUCGUGAAGAGGGAAACAACCCAGACCGCCAGCUAAGGUCCCAAAGUCAUGGUUAAGUGGGAAACGAUGUGGGAAGGCCCAGACAGCCAGGAUGUUGGCUUAGAAGCAGCCAUCAUUUAAAGAAAGCGUAAUAGCUCACUGGUCGAGUCGGCCUGCGCGGAAGAUGUAACGGGGCUAAACCAUGCACCGAAGCUGCGGCAGCGACACUGUGUGUUGUUGGGUAGGGGAGCGUUCUGUAAGCCUGCGAAGGUGGCCUGUGAGGGUUGCUGGAGGUAUCAGAAGUGCGAAUGCUGACAUAAGUAACGAUAAAGCGGGUGAAAAGCCCGCUCGCCGGAAGACCAAGGGUUCCUGUCCAACGUUAAUCGGGGCAGGGUGAGUCGACCCCUAAGGCGAGGCCGAAAGGCGUAGUCGAUGGGAAACGGGUUAAUAUUCCCGUACUUGGUGUUACUGCGAAGGGGGGACGGAGAAGGCUAUGUUGGCCGGGCGACGGUUGUCCCGGUUUAAGCGUGUAGGUGUGUGUUCCAGGUAAAUCCGGUUCACUUUAACACUGAGGCGUGACGACGAGGCACUACGGUGCUGAAGCAACAAAUGCCCUGCUUCCAGGAAAAGCCUCUAAGCAUCAGGUAACAUCAAAUCGUACCCCAAACCGACACAGGUGGUCAGGUAGAGAAUACCAAGGCGCUUGAGAGAACUCGGGUGAAGGAACUAGGCAAAAUGGUGCCGUAACUUCGGGAGAAGGCACGCUGACACGUAGGUGAAGUGAUUUACUCAUGGAGCUGAAGUCAGUCGAAGAUACCAGCUGGCUGCAACUGUUUAUUAAAAACACAGCACUGUGCAAACACGAAAGUGGACGUAUACGGUGUGACGCCUGCCCGGUGCCGGAAGGUUAAUUGAUGGGGUCAGCGCAAGCGAAGCUCCUGAUCGAAGCCCCGGUAAACGGCGGCCGUAACUAUAACGGUCCUAAGGUAGCGAAAUUCCUUGUCGGGUAAGUUCCGACCUGCACGAAUGGCGUAAUGAUGGCCAGGCUGUCUCCACCCGAGACUCAGUGAAAUUGAACUCGCUGUGAAGAUGCAGUGUACCCGCGGCAAGACGGAAAGACCCCGUGAACCUUUACUAUAGCUUGACACUGAACAUUGAGCCUUGAUGUGUAGGAUAGGUGGGAGGCUUUGAAGUGUGGACGCCAGUCUGCAUGGAGCCGACCUUGAAAUACCACCCUUUAAUGUUUGAUGUUCUAACGUGGACCCGUUACCCGGGUUGCGGACAGUGUCUGGUGGGUAGUUUGACUGGGGCGGUCUCCUCCUAAAGAGUAACGGAGGAGCACGAAGGUUGGCUAAUCCUGGUCGGACAUCAGGAGGUUAGUGCAAUGGCAUAAGCCAGCUUGACUGCGAGCGUGACGGCGCGAGCAGGUGCGAAAGCAGGUCAUAGUGAUCCGGUGGUUCUGAAUGGAAGGGCCAUCGCUCAACGGAUAAAAGGUACUCCGGGGAUAACAGGCUGAUACCGCCCAAGAGUUCAUAUCGACGGCGGUGUUUGGCACCUCGAUGUCGGCUCAUCACAUCCUGGGGCUGAAGUAGGUCCCAAGGGUAUGGCUGUUCGCCAUUUAAAGUGGUACGCGAGCUGGGUUUAGAACGUCGUGAGACAGUUCGGUCCCUAUCUGCCGUGGGCGCUGGAGAACUGAGGGGGGCUGCUCCUAGUACGAGAGGACCGGAGUGGACGCAUCACUGGUGUUCGGGUUGUCAUGCCAAUGGCACUGCCCGGUAGCUAAAUGCGGAAGAGAUAAGUGCUGAAAGCAUCUAAGCACGAAACUUGCCCCGAGAUGAGUUCUCCCUGAGACUUAAAGUCUCCUGAAGGAACGUUGAAGACGACGACGUUGAUAGGCCGGGUGUGUAAGCGCAGCGAUGCGUUGAGCUAACCGGUACUAAUGAACCGUGAGGCUUAACCUUACAACGCCGAAG
rnacentral:rRNA from 3 species